GGUUAAGCGACCAAGCGUACACGGUGGAUGCCCUGGCAGUCAGAGGCGAUGAAGGACGUGCUAAUCUGCGAUAAGCGCCGGUAAGGUGAUAUGAACCGUUAUAACCGGCGAUGUCCGAAUGGGGAAACCCAGUGUGACUCGUCACACUAUCAUUAACUGAAUCCAUAGGUUAAUGAGGCGAACCGGGGGAACUGAAACAUCUAAGUACCCCGAGGAAAAGAAAUCAACCGAGAUUCCCCCAGUAGCGGCGAGCGAACGGGGAGGAGCCCAGAGCCUGAAUCAGCAUGUGUGUUAGUGGAAGCGUCUGGAAAGGCGCGCGAUACAGGGUGACAGCCCCGUACACAAAAGCGCACAUGCUGUGAGCUCGAUGAGUAGGGCGGGACACGUGGUAUCCUGUCUGAAUAUGGGGGGACCAUCCUCCAAGGCUAAAUACUCCUGACUGACCGAUAGUGAACCAGUACCGUGAGGGAAAGGCGAAAAGAACCCCGGCGAGGGGAGUGAAACAGAACCUGAAACCGUGUACGUACAAGCAGUGGGAGCC
rnacentral:rRNA from 1 species